UACGGAGGAUGCAAGCGUUAUCCGGAAUGAUUGGGCGUAAAGCGUCCGCAGGUGGCUGUGUAAGUCUGCUGUUAAAGAGUGAGGCUCAACCUCAUAAAGGCAGUGGAAACUACAUGGCUAGAGUGCGUUCGGGGCAGAGGGAAUUCCUGGUGUAGCGGUGAAAUGCGUAGAGAUCCGGAAGAACACCGGUGGCGAAGGCGGUCUGCUGGGCAGUUGCUGACACUGAGGCGCGACAGCGUGGGGAGCAAACAGG
rnacentral:rRNA from 1 species